AAAGGAAUUGACGGGGACCCGCACAAGCGGUGGAGUAUGUGGCUUAAUUCGAUGCAACGCGAAGAACCUUACCAAGGCUUGACAUCCCGAGACCGCCUAUGAAAGUAGGUUUUCUAUUCGUAGACUCGGAGACAGGUGCUGCAUGGCCGUCGUCAGCUCGUGUCGUGAGAUGUUUGGUUAAGUCCAGCAACGAGCGCAACCCCUGCUGCCAGUUACCAUCAUUAAGUUGGGGACUCUGGCGGGACUGCCCAGAUCAACUGGGAGGAAGGUGGGGACGACGUCAGGUCAGUAUGGCCCUUAUGCCUUGGGCUGCACACGUACUACAAUGCCCAGUACAGAGGGAAGCAAGCAGGCGACUGCAAGCAGAUCCCGAAAAGUGGGCCCAGUUCGGAUUGGAGGCUGCAACUCGCCUCCAUGAAGCCGGAAUCGCUAGUAAUGGCGCAUCAGCUACGGCGCCGUGAAUACGUUCCCGGGUCUUGUACACACCGCCCGU
rnacentral:rRNA from 1 species